rnacentral:rRNA from 1 species
GAUGAACGCUGGCGGCGUGCUUAACACAUGCAAGUCGAACGGAAAGGCUCCUACUUUCCGGGGUUCUCGAUAGGCGAACGGGUGAGUAACACGUGUGUAUACUGCCCUUCUCUUAGGGAUAUGCCUUGGAAACUGGGGCUAUUAUCGGAGAGGACAUAUUGAUGGGUGGGGUGGUGUAGAGAUUUUCGGUUUUGGAUUGGCUUGCGGCUUAUCCGCUUGUUGGUGGGGUAUUGGCUUACGAAGGGGUAGACGGAUAGCCGGCCUGGGAGGGGGUACGGCCACAUUAGGACUGCGAGAGGGACCAGUCGCCAACGGGCGGCAGAAGUGGGGAGUAUGGCAGAAUGGGGGCAAGCGUGAGGCGGAGACGCUGCGUGGGGGAUGACGGCCUUCGGGUGGUAAACAACUUUCGCUAGAGACAAAGAGCUAGUGACGGUACCUGGAGAAGAAGCAACGGCUAACUACGUG